GGGUCAGUAGGUUGGUCGUGCCACCGGUACGUACUGGUCCCAAUGAUUCCUCCUUCCUGAAGAACCGUAAUGCCAUUAAUUUGGUGUUGCGGGGAAACAGGACUGUUACUUUGAAAAAAUUAGAGUGUUUAAAGCAAGCUAACGCUUGAAUACAUUAGCAUGGAAUAAUGAAAUAGGACGAUCGAUCCUAUUUUGUUGGUUUCUAGGAUUGACGUA
rnacentral:rRNA from 1 species